rnacentral:lncRNA from 10 species
AAAACCUCCAGAUUUCAUGUCUGGGCAGCUUCUCCUCAAGUCACCCCAAAGGCCAUUUAUAUCAGGUUUAUGCUCCUUCUAUUUCCCUUUAGUGUCCUUCAGCACAAUGGAUGAAGCUCUUGAAUCUAUUAAACUACUCUACCGUAGAACAAGACCACCUCAAGCUGCUGGUUAACUGCAUUUCAGAAUUUUAGAUCCAAAUACACUUGCAGAGCAGUUCUUUUUCUUGACAUUUCUUGAAGUAUGUUCAUUGACUGAAGCUUUGAGAAAGCCCAAAGUAAGAAAACUGACUUAAUUUUGGCUUUUGUCUGGUGUUUCCCAAGCAUAUCUGGCCAUGUAAACCAUCAUUCUAUGUAGAUGCAUUGAAUAUACUAUGCGGCAGGCCUCGUGCUAGGAUCUGGGAAAACAAGGUGUAAAAGAAAGAUGUAACUCCUUCCUUCUCUUAAAGAACUCUUUCUACUGCCCCCAAGAUAUUGAUUUAUGUGAACCCAGUGUUCCUUCGAGCCCACUUUGAGAAACAGUUACUUAAGUCAAAGGAGUGGCUUUAAUGGCACCUUUAAAGUCACACAGAGCAAACGUCAGCUUUCUUUUCUUUUUUUUUUUUUUUUAGAGGCUCUUGCUCUGUCACCCAGGUUGGAGUGCAGUGGGGUGAUCAUAGCUCACUGCAGCCUCAAACUCCUGGCCUCAAGUGAUCCUCCUGCCUCAGCCUCCUGACUAGCUGGGACUACAGGCACAUGCCACCAUGCCCAGCUUUUAUAUAUAUAUAUUUCUUCUUUGAUUUUUUUAAUUUUUAAUUUUUUGAUAAUUUAUUCUAUUUUGUUUUUUUGUAGGGUGAAGUCUCAUUAUGUUGCCCAGGCUGGUCUUGAAUUCCUGGCCUCAAACUCCUGGCCUCAAGCCAUCCUCCUUCCUCAGCCUCCCAAAGCACUGGGAUUACAGGUAUGAGCUAAUGCCUCAGUUCUGAGAUCAGCUUUCUUUUUUUCUUUUUUUUGAGAUGGAGUCUCACUCUGUCACCCAGGCUGGAAUGCGGUGGUGCGGAGAUCAGCUUUCUUGACUUACAAAAAGACCUAUCCCUGAGAGAUAAAAAGCUCACAAUGAUAAGAAUUCAAAACACUGGAAGAUAUAUGUUGUAGGAACACAAAAACCCACUUUCCUCCAAGCCACCUGUCCUGACAAGGCUACUCCAAUCUUUUCACUGAAUCCUUCAGAAGGCCGGAAGAUGAGUGCCGGGGAGAGACAGUUGUGCUGACAUUACUGCCCGCAUUCUCUCCAGAUGAGCUGAGACACGUGCAGCCCAGGGCGGGUCGUCUGGCUGGUUUUGGUUAUUCAUCGCAGGCUGAAGAGUGGCCUUGGAAUUUCAGAGCAGAGACUAAUGGCUUUUCUCCUGAGAACAUGCAAUGAUGUGACAUUUUAGAGAGAAGUCAAAACACCACAAACCAUGGGGACUAUCAGUGUUUCCACCACUCGUAAGUGGCAGAUGAAAAUCAUGGCUAAUCCCGUUACUUCUUUUUCUGUCCAAAGUGGCUUCGUAGGUAGAGAAAGGUGAUCCGAGGGAGGUGAUGUUUGUGGGCUUUGCGCAUACAAAUAAAAUAGGAAAUGCAUCUCUGAGAUAGCAGGGAUGACGGGCACGUCUCUUA